CAGCCCAGGGGCGCGAAGCGGGGCGGGCUGCGCAGCGCCAGCAGGAGCGCGGGCACCAGGAAGGCGGGCAGCUCCUGCAGGAACCAGGCGCAGCGAGCGGACAGGUGAAAUUAAGGUUUAGAGGCAAUCAAGAAAACAAAUCCUCUGCAAUUUGGAUUUUGAAAUUUGACAUCAACAUAGAAACUUCAGCAUCAAAAAUUAACACACAAUUUGACUGGUUUGUUUCCCUUCCACCAUCUUUUAAAGAAGAAGGAUGCCAAGUGUCAAAUCCAAAGAUGUGCUUGCAAAACUUGUAAAGGCGUAUUCCACCUCCCUGGAAACUGUUGUGGGUCAAAUUCAUUUCAGCAUUACCAAUUUCCUUGUGUCCAUUUGAGAGCCUGCUAUUUCUUAUUUCUGCCUAGUGGAGCACAACCCAUAGGUCUGCAUAGCCCCUUCGCCAAGAGAAGGAAGUUUUUUCAAUAACAAUACAGACAUCUUUUGGUGUGUCUUGACAGUGUUACCAUAAGAGAACAGACUCUGCCUCCACAGCUGUGGCCAAAUCCCUUACCUAGCCACAUAAUGUGGUCUUUCAAUGGACAGCAGAUGCAGUCCACCACAUUCUUUUUCAUUAAUCCAAAAGUUAUAUUAAUCUCUAACUAGGCUCACUGCACAGAUUGUCAAAAGAGAAGCUGUGAAUUGUAGCAAUAGUGAAGAAUGUGAUUUGGGAAACAUUAACAGAACUACUGAAUAUUGUAAGAGUCACACAGAAAAGGGUCAAGUGGGGACAGAGUUCAUAUUUCCUGACUGAAAUUGAGCACUAUUGAAAAGACAAGUUCGUUUCUUCUGCUACUGGAAUCUUACGUCCCAUUGAACAAUUUUUUUUUUAAUUAGCCUAAUAGUCUCAUGUCUGCUGCUGCUCCAUUACCAGAUUGGCAUGUAUUUUAUAAUAGAACACAGCAUACUUUCUAGUCUUCCUGCAUUCUAAAAAAAAUUGAUGGAGUAGUUGCCUUUACAAGCUUCCAAUUUGUUUGCUCCAGGCAAUGUAACAAACUAUGCAGGAAUUAUACAUGUAUAAUGUAAUCUUAGAGUACAGAGAGAGUUCUGUCUAGCAGUUGGGGGGGAAAGAUAUAAUCAUCCUAUGGGCAAAAAGGGGCAUGUACUGUACACUAACUUCAACCAAGGACAAGAUAACACUAUUUAGUACAAUUAAGGGUGAUUCCUGACUCACUAUUUUGCGGGAAAGUUUCAAGCACAUGCUGGAACUUUAGAUUUCCACAGUUAAAGGGUAUUAAAGCAUUAUGUCACCCUAGUGCAACAAACCCACUUUUUAAAAGAAUCGGACUUCUUGCUUUUUGGAAAGUAAAUCAGGAUGAAUGCUCAAUGUACAGGUCAACUGGAGGAGCUCAAAGAUCAGUUUUCUAAAGAGAAAAGGCCAUAUAUAAAGGAAAAUACUGUGCAUGCAUUGAUACUUUUAAAAUUAUUAUUAUUAUAUUAUGGAAAUACGGUGAGCAAAAUAAUUAUGCAAAUGUGUAUACAUCUAAAAAAUGAUCAAUUUGG